CACUCCUGCGGGAGGCAGCAGUGGGGAAUAUUGCACAAUGGGCGCAAGCCUGAUGCAGCCAUGCCGCGUGUAUGAAGAAGGCCUUCGGGUUGUAAAGUACUUUCAGCGGGGAGGAAGGCAAUACGGUUAAUAACCGUGUUGAUUGACGUUACCCGCAGAAGAAGCACCGGCUAACUCCGUGCCAGCAGCCGCGGUAAUACGGAGGGUGCAAGCGUUAAUCGGAAUUACUGGGCGUAAAGCGCACGCAGGCGGUCUGUCAAGUCGGAUGUGAAAUCCCCGGGCUCAACCUGGGAACUGCAUUCGAAACUGGCAGGCUUGAGUCUUGUAGAGGGGGGUAGAAUUCCAGGUGUAGCGGUGAAAUGCGUAGAGAUCUGGAGGAAUACCAGUGGCGAAGGCGGCCCCCUGGACAAAGACUGACGCUCAGGUGCGAAAGCGUGGGGAGCAAACAGGAUUAGAUACCCCUGUGUCCCAUGA
rnacentral:rRNA from 1 species